UUUCCGUAGGUGAACCUGCGGAAGGAUCAUUGUCGAAACCUGCCCAGCAGAACGACCCGCGAACUUGUAUAAACGACCGGGGGCGGGGGGCGUUCUCGCCCCGUGCCCCCGAACGGCGGGGAGACACUCGUGCCUUCUUGCCGAACAACGAACCCCGGCGCGGUCUGCGCCAAGGAACUUCAACUAAAGAGUGCCUCCGGUCGCCUCGGAAACGGCGUGCGUGCCGGGGGCGAAUCUUGUGCAAAACCAUAACGACUCUCGGCAACGGAUAUCUCGGCUCUC
rnacentral:misc_RNA from 1 species